rnacentral:rRNA from 1 species
GAUGAACGCUGGCGGCGUGCCUAAUACAUGCAAGUCGAGCGAAUGGAUUAAGAGCUUGCUCUUAUGAAGUUAGCGGCGGACGGGUGAGUAACACGUGGGUAACCUGCCCAUAAGACUGGGAUAACUCCGGGAAACCGGGGCUAAUACCGGAUAACAUUUUGAACCGCAUGGCUCGAAAUUGAAUGGCGGCUUCUGCUGUUACUUAUGGAUGGACCCGGGUCGCAUUAGCUAGUUGGUGAGGUAACGGCUCACCAAGGCAACGAUGCGUAGCCGACCUGAGAGGGUGAUCGGCCACACUGGGACUGAGACACGGCCCAGACUCCUACGGGAGGCAGCAGUAGGGAAUCUUCCGCAAUGGACGAAAGUCUGACGGAGCAACGCCGCGUGAGUGAUGAAGGCUUUCGGGUCGUAAAACUCUGUUGUUAGGGAAGAACAAGUGCUAGUUGAAUAAGCUGGCACCUUGACGGUACCUAACCAGAAAGCCACGGCUAACUACGUGCCAGCCGCCGCGGUAA